AUUUAUUAUAAAUAUCAACACACAGUCACACACAGACUCACUCGUUUAGGCCAAUGAAAAUUGAUAUCAUGUUUCUCGUCCCCGCCCGCAUGGGAUUUAUCUGCCGCACGAAAAUUUUUCAUUAUUCAUUAUUUUUGAAAAAUACGCUUAACAAAACACCAAAUUGAUCUCCAGAUCAAAGUCUUAUUGCUGCAUUCCGCAGACGCAACUCAAAUUCGGUAUCUAUCUAAAGAUAUUACUCGCCAGAAUGCCUCUAUUUUUCAUGUCAGCCCUGGUAUUUAUAAAUUAAAAUGAAUUAUACACCGAUUUACUUCAGAUUUUUAUCAUAUGGGGUUUUUACUGGGUCAAGGAAAUUAUUGAUAAGCAGAAUUCAAACACAAAAAAUAAUGAAAAAUGAAAAAUGAAAAAAUCCCGCUCCGAAUUUUUGAAAAUUGUGGACGAGAAACAUGAUAUCAAUUUUCAUUGGCCUAAUAAAUCCACAUCUAUAAACACAGUACACAAAUCCCAUACAUUCCCUUGUGAAAUUACUGAAAUAGCUGACAAACCUUUUAAUUUCGAC